rnacentral:lncRNA from 1 species
UUUCCUAAUGCAAUUUCCUUUAUAAUCAUAUCUCAUUCCUUUUUCAUGUUCUUUCAUUUUUAUUUUUUAUUUUUGGGUCAAGUUAUUUUCGCUCUUAAUAGAUGGGCCAAAAUUCACGAGAUUGAACUUUUGGAGGUGAUCCAAGAUGUUCUCGUGUGGUUUCCCAUACUCAUAAUGAAGCCAUUAGAGGAGCAGAGACCCAGAGCUAUCAAAAACUCAACAACCAACCAAACACUUCAACACAGAGAAUGAUAUUAGGAAUUUGCACUGAAAACACUCCCCCUAGCUUCUACCGGACAAAUCACGUCAAAAG